rnacentral:rRNA from 1 species
GGUGACCUCGGAUCAGUAGAUCCAUCCGCUGAACUUAAGCAUAUCAAUAAGCGAGGAAAAGAAAACCAACAGGAUUGCCUCAGUAACGCGAGUGAAGCGGCACAGCUCAAAUUGAAUCUGGCUCUUUUGGGGUCGAGUGUAAUUGUAGAGAUGUUCCGGUACCGCCCCCGCCUAAUCUGACAGAUGUCAGAGAGUGAGAUUCCGUCUGACGCGUAGCCAUGUGAACUCUCACAGUCAGUGUUUGGAUGCA